GAUGAACGCUAGCGACAGGCCUAACACAUGCAAGUCGAGGGGCAACGGGGCGUAGCAAUACGCUGCCGGCGACCGGCGGAUGGGUGAGUAACGCGUAUGCAACCUGCCUUCAGCAGGGGGAUAGCCCGUUGAAAGACGGAUUAAUACCCCAUAACACAGGGGCUCCGCAUGGAGAUUAUUGUUAAAAGGGAUGCUUCCUUCGGGGGUAUUCCGGCUGAAGAUGGGCAUGCGUUCCAUUAGGUAGUUGGUUGAGGUAACGGCUCACCAAGCCUGCGAUGGAUAGGGGAACUGAGAGGUUGGUCCCCCACACUGGUACUGAGACACGGACCAGACUCCUACGGGAGGCAGCAGUGAGGAAUCUUGGUCAAUGGACGGAAGUCUGAACCAGCCAUGUCGCGUGAAGGAGGACGGCCCUAAGGGUUGUAAACUUCUUUUGCAGCGGAAUAAAGUAUUCCACGUGAUGGGAUAUUGCAAGUACGCUGCGAAUAAGGAUCGGCUAACUCCGU
rnacentral:rRNA from 1 species